AUGAUGUACUUGAGUUUGAAUCAAACAAAACUUACAAACACUCAAUAAUAUAAAUAGUCUUCCCUUUCUUAUAGGUUUCAUAUCCUCUUGCAAAUACUUAAACACCUCUUCCACCUAUUCAAACCUUCCUUCCAACAUUAGGGUAGCAGAAUUACUGGCGUUACCAUAGAAUUUAUUUACACAAUGCUUCGUUCUAACCGUUGAAGACGAAGUUUGUUUAUUCAACUGAAGUCUCUACGAUGCAAUAUGAUUGGUCUCCGGUCAGAGUUAUAGUUUUCGACCGUGAUUUCCUUGAUUAAUUGAUAUAUUCAAAACGGUAAUAUAUGCAUAUACAAGUAUUGAUCCUUCACAUCGUUCUAUCAUAAUGUAGAUGAGUUCAUGUUUGUUUAUAUUUGAAAUGAUAAUGGAUGCAUAUGUAGACAAGAGGAAGACAAAAAAAAAUCUUUGUUGCAAACAUCAACAGCUUAUCGAGUAUCUUCCUCCUCCCGGAGAUAUUGAAAGACAAAAUAUCAACUCGAAUGAAAUCACUAUUGAGGAUGGUACUUAUGCAAACAUUCAAGAUUUUGUAAUAAACUCAGAUUUUGUAAACAAUUCCAAUUAAUGGACCUCAUCCGUUGCAUAUGAAGCAAAUGAUGAAUGGGUUUUCAAAUUCUUAUUUUAUGUUAGGGAUUCCAAAUUCCGAAACAAACUCAAAUUUUGUAAACAAUUUGAAGUAAAUGAAAAAAUUUAUUAUUUAAUGUUA